GGUUGUAUCAGUCAGAGUGCUCAGACCGUUUUUGCACCCAGAAGUAGCAGGAAGUCUGGAUGCCACAUAGAAAGGUAUGUGUUGCCUGUAAACUUCAGGAAAUAUUUCUGUUUCAGAGAUCUGAGAUAGCCUUGUCCUGAGGGGCAGAUGGAAACCCAAUGCCCAGCCAUAGCCAUGUAGCAAUUGGACAUCCCUGGACUUUUUUUCGUCACCCAUUUGGAGGUUGCCAGAGAUCCUGAUACACUCAGCAAGCCCCAAAAUGAACUCAUCAUCCUCUCCCACAACAAUGGUCCUUCAUUUAUCCAGGACAUAUGUCACUGAAGAUCUAAGGUGGUAAAUUUUUGGUUAAAUACAACUGUAAAUAAAGCAUUACUAGCUUGUGCAAAACAUUUCCUUGGAUGCAUGAUAUGACAACUAGCAGUUAAAGUUUCUUCACAUGUGGCAUUCCAGCAAAUCUGAAGGACAUUUGGCCAAUUCCCCUUGAUCAUUAAGUCCAGAUCCUGAGACCCUGAAUUUUAUCCUCAGACAUCCUUACUCCUGUCAGUGGCUGCAUGGACCUCUUCUUGAAUGAAUCCUCAUUAAGUUUGAUCACCCCUAAUCUCAAGGGGGUUGCCAAAGCCAACAGAGAAGAUCUUUGGGAAAACUGUAAUGCAAUACUUACCUUCAAGAGCAGGCUUUAAAAAAUACAUUCGAGUGGUGCCUGUUCAAUCCAAGCUGUUUUCCCCUCUGUGAGAUACGUCCAUGAGAGGUAAUGAGUGAGUACAUCAGAAGGUGGUAAACUCUCUGAAAGCCUUCAGUACUGAAAACAACCAAUGGCGAUAGAGCUUGGGAUGGAGAAGGUGUCACUCUAGUUUGCAAAUGUGCCUGUGGAAAGGUAACCUCACCAAUAAGGACUCAUGUGAAGGAGUUCAGAAGUUUUAUUAGGCUUUCCAAGGAACAAAUAAAAUGCUACUUAUUUUUAAAAACAGAAUAAAACUCGUUCUAUCUUGUAAUCACCGUGUGGCACCUUUGAGCAAUUUAAAAAUCCAAGACCUAUUAUGGAAUCUGCAUGAUCUUAUUUUGCUGAUGUAUCUUGAACAUUUUCUAUUUCAUCAAGUUAGGAUUUAUUUCAUUAUUACUAAUCAAUUAUUCCCAACAAUGCUAAAAAAAGACUAAAAUAAUUGAAAAAUAGAACAAUGAUGCAAUUGUCAAAUAAACACCUCACGUGUUGUUCCACAGGUUGAGUAAGCAGUGCAUCACAGUUCAAGAAGGCACAAAAGGAGCUUGAAGGCAUUUUUAUGGUCUACUUCUAGUUUCACUGAACACAGUUUAAAAUUUAGAAUUUUUAUCUUUCUGUCCAUAACCACAAAGUGAAGGAAAUCGAGAGAGGGAGAUAUUUCAGUGAUUUAGAUGAAUCAGAAGAUGAAUUCAAAAAGACAGAUAGCAGUAUGCUAAACUUUAAUGAUUAGGGUUCAAUUGAAAUUGAUCAUUCAAGUGAAAUCUCAGAUCACGAAUCUUCAGAUGACAGUCUAUUUUCUCAAAUUCAAAGAAUCAAGUGAAUAAUACAUUUCAAAGGAUGAAAAAGGAAAUAUGGUAUUCUCAUUCAAUUAGCCCUUCAACUAAGGACUUGAUCAUGCAAUAUUUUGUGGCAAGAAACCUGAACCUUCUAAUUUUGUUAAAAGGGCAUGUUGCAGGACUCUUUUAUCUUUUAUAAAAUUGGUGUGCCAAAAUUUAUGGUUUUAAAGUACACAAAUGCUAAAGAAAUGUGAGGGCAGAUAUAAGAAGGAAAUUGAUAAUGUAUACAUUAAAUAUCAUUAGAUUUAUCAUUCUAAUUAAUCUUUACACAUUUAAAUAUAAAAUAUUUUGCAAUUAUAAAAUGGAAAGGAUAUAACCUUUUCAACAAAAUUAG